CUUCCUUCAGUGGUAGAGCAAAUGAAUGGGACUACAGGAGGGAGAGAAGAAAACAGUAUCAGGUUUCCAUGGUUAGGACUGAGCAAUUCAAAUCACCCAGAUUUGCUCUUUCAUCAGUGUUGAAAGGACCCUGAGAAUCUGAGGGAAGGAAGAAUGCCCACAGAAGAUUUUUGGCACUGCCAAAAUGUGGACAAGAAAGCCAGAAGGUUCAGGACAUCAUUAUCAAGGCCAAUAGCACGCCAGACACCGCGAUCAAACUGGAAGUCUUCUCAAUUUACAGGAUGGACUGAACUGUUGCUUCAGAAAAGGCAGAAGUUGGAGGAGCAGGUUUUGUAAUAAACUCCUGGUAGUUCUCCGAUGUGGUGGUUUUGUCAAAUUCAUGUUCCCCCUGACCUUGAACACCUAAUGAUCAAAUGGCAAACAUUCUAUUUAUCAAGGCACUUCUCUUCCUGAUCACAGUUUACAUAUCAGCAACAGCCAACUAUAAUCAAGUGCUUGAGAUACAGCAGGAUUCUGUCUCCAAGCUAUUAAGCAAU